GCUAUUCAACGACGAGAUCUUCUUGGACCACGCAAGCCAAAGACUAUACUCACGAAUGACAUUAGCCAAUCAAUCGAUGUUGCUCUCAAUUUCCUGUCGAGCCCACAUUCGAGCUGUGAAAGUGAUACUGGAGAAUAUUCAAACACGACGUUUGACAUUGACAGUCUCGUCCGCCUUCAACACGAUCAACGCUCGCAACACGAGGCGUACGGUAUCCAUCACAUCGACACGAUUGGUUGUUUUCAAAUGAAAAAUUCUGGAAAGUACCACAAAAGAGCCCGAGCCAGCGACAUCAACUUUGUGCUAAAAUUAGGACUCGAAAAUGCGAAUGAGUGGGGAAACCAGUUUGAGCCAUAUCGACGGUUGAGCCAGACGGAUAAGAACUCGGUUUUGUCAGAAUUCGGAUUCGCAUUUCUGUUGAUCGAUCAAGGGUAUAAAACUGCACAAAGGGCUGACGAAGGAUUCUGGUUAUUGCAAAACGAGACUUUUAUGCAUCCAAAUUACUUUUUCGCACUUUCAGUUGAGGAUGCAAUGAAGGAAAAUGCGGAACAAAAAGCAGAGCUUCAUCAUUCUUUCGUCAACGAACUUGUGAAAUGUGUAAGCGAUCCGUUCAAAAAUCUACAUAUUGACGAGUUCGAAUGUGCCAUUCUCAAGACUGUACUUUUACUAACUCCAUCAUUCCCGGGUCACGUAACCUACAAAGAUCUACAAUAUUUGCACAACAAAUGUAUGUCAGAACUCAUGGAUCAUUCAAUUCAACGAUCUCCCGACGCGGGUCCAGAACGAUUCGGGGAAAUAAUUCUGUUGAUCAGCUCAAUUCGAUGUGGUGUCAAGGCAAUUUAUAAUCAAACAAGAGUCUCUGAUAUGUUCCAUUUGAUGACUUUUGACCCAUAUGUGAGGAACAUUUUGCUCUCCUAGUUACAUUUACUCCUGGUGCUUGUCUGUACAUUCUGUUAAUUUAUUCUAUUUAUUUUUUAUUUUUAAAAACUUCCAAAAUCUCACUAUUACUCAUAUCUACCUCAUUGUGAUUAUUAUUCACGAUUUUCCUUCCAAUUUAUUAUUAUCUCUUCCAAAAAAUUGAUAAACCAAUCAAUUCAUAAUGUUCUAUGUUCUAUAGUUUCUCAAAUAUCCGGACAAUAAGAAACCAAUGGUC
rnacentral:misc_RNA from 1 species